CUACCCUGUAGGGCCUACCCGGGAGACGCGGGUAAGCCUGCCGGCGGACCACGAAACUCUGUAAAAUAUUGAAUACUGAACAUAUAACUAAAUAAGUUAAAACUUCAACAACGGAUCUCUUGGAAAUGGCAUCGAUGAAGAACGCAGCGAAAUGCGAUAAGUAAUGUGAAUUGCAGAAUUCAGUGAAUCAUCGAAUCUUUGAACGCACAUUGCGCCCAUUAGUAUACUAGUUGGGCAUGCCUGUUCGAGCGUCAUUUCAACCCUUAAGCCUCUGUUGCUUAGCGUUGGGAGCCUACAGCACCUGUAGCUCCUCAAAGUUAGUGNCGGAGUCGGUUCACACUCUAGACGUAGUAAUUUUAUCUCGCCUAUUAGUUGGACCGGUCUCCCGCCGUAAAACCCCUAUUUUUAAAGGUUGACCUCGGAUCAGGUAGGUAUACCCGCUGAACUUAAGCAUAUCAAUAAGCGAGAGGAAAAGAAACCAAUCAGGGAUUGCCCUAGUAACGGCGAGUGAAGCGGCAACAGCUC
rnacentral:rRNA from 1 species